rnacentral:rRNA from 1 species
GACGAACGCUGGCGGCGUGCCUAAUACAUGCAAGUAGAACGAGUUGCGAACGGGUGAGUAACGCGUGGUAACCUGCCUCCUUGCGGGGGAUACCUCUUGGAAACGAUAGCUAAUACCGCAUACUGUGAGAUGGACCUGCGUUGUAUUAGCUAGUUGGUGAGGUAAAGGCUCACCAUGGCGACGUUCCCUAGCUGGUCUUAGAGGAUGACGAUCCACACUGGAACUGAGACACGGUCCAGAUGCCUACGGGAGGAGGCAGUGGGGAAUAUUGCACAAUGGGCGCAGGCCUGAUGCAGCCAGGCCGGGUGUAUGAAGAGGGCCUUCGGGUUGUAAAGUACUUUCAGCGAGGAGGCGGUACUCGCAGAAGAAGCACCGGCUAACUCCGUGCCAGCAGCCGCGGUAAUAC